UUUCACCCUUGUCCUUCCAUUGGUGCCUGGGUGGAGCCGCCCCCACUGCGGGGGCCCCGGGGCGAGAGGGAGUAGAGGCCGGGGCAGAGGGCGAGGGCGGAGGGCGCUGGCGGCGGAGGCCGCAGAAGAUGAGCAGCAGCUGCUCAGGGCUGAGCAGGGUCCUGGUGGCCGUGGCUAUAGCCCUGGUGUCCACCUCCUCCCCCUGCCCCCAGGCCUGGGGCCCCCCAGGGGUCCAGUAUGGGCAGCCUGGCAGGUCCAUGACACUGUGUUGCCCUGGAGUGACUUCUGGGGCCCCGGUGUCCUGGUUUCGGGAUGGGGAGACAAGGCUGCUCCAAGGACCUGACUCUGGGCUAGGGCAUGAACUGGUCUUGGCCCGGGCAGACAGCACUGAUGAAGGCACCUACAUCUGCCGGACCCUGGAUGGUGCACUUAAGGGCAUUGUGACCCUACAGCUGGGCUACCCCCCAGCCCGCCCUGUUGUCUCCUGCCAAGCAGCUGACUAUGAGAACUUCUCCUGCACUUGGAGCCCCAGUCAGGUCAGCGGUUUACCCACCCGCUACCUCACCUCCUACAGGAAGAAGACAGUACCAGGAGCUGAUGGCCAGAGGAUGAGUCCAUCCACAGGGCCCUGGCCAUGCCCACAGGAUCCCCCAGGGGCUUCCCGCUGUGUAGUCCAUGGGGCAGAAUUCUGGAGCCAGUACCGAAUCAAUGUGACUGAGGUGAACCCCCUAGGGGUCAGUACACGCCUGCUGGAUGUGAGCUUGCAGAGCAUCUUGCGCCCUGACCCACCUCAGGGGCUUCGAGUAGAGUCGGUACCUGGCUACCCCCGCCGCCUGCGUGCCAGCUGGACAUACCCGGCCUCCUGGCCCCGCCAGCCCCACUUUCUGCUCAAGUUCCGACUGCAGUACCGUCCAGCGCAGCAUCCAGCCUGGUCCACGGUGGAGCCAGCUGGAUUGGAGGAAGUGAUCACGGAUGCUGUGGCUGGGCUGCCCCAUGCUGUACGAGUCAGUGCCCGGGACUUUCUGGAUGCUGGCACCUGGAGUGCCUGGAGCCCUGAGGCCUGGGGGACUCCAAGCAUUGGGCCCCUGCCAAAGGAGAUACCAGCUGGGGGCCAGCCACACAAGCAGCUGGAGGAGGAGCCUCAGGCAGACUGCCCCGCUUCCCCCAGGCCCUCCCUCUUGCCAGAUCCACGGCCACUUGACCACAGGGACCCCCUGGAGCAGGUAGCGGUGCUGGCAUCUUUGGGAAUAUUCUCUUUCCUCGGACUGGCGGCUGGGGCCCUGGCACUGGGGCUCUGGCUGAGACUGAGACCAGAUGGUAAGGAUGGACCCCAAAAGCCUGGGUUCUUGGCUCCAGUGAUUCCAGUGGACAAACUUCCAGAUCUCCAUCAGCUGGCUGUCUGCCAUAUACUUUGUGGUCUUUUCUGGACCAAUCGGUCCAGACACCUGGGAAGGCAAGAAAUGAGUUCUUUUGGAGUUCUGCGAUUUCCAGAUGAUGUCCAUCGAGGGCUGUUCUGGGGUGUACAGAGCUGGUGACCUCUCAGCACAGUGAACCUGGAAUCAGAAGGAAUGGAACAGCCCUGAAACCCAGCUUCCUGGCAGGCCCUGGUGUGAGGGGCAGAAACUGAGGACCAUAUCUGGGAACCUGUUUCAGGGGCUUCCUUGUGGGGAGGAGCUUGGCAAGGAGAAGGGGAGUAAGAUGGGGAGACCAAGAAAUCAGUAUGCUGAGAAGAGGAGAGGUGCUGUGCGGGGGGCCAUGGAAGAUGGAUAGAGAUGGACAAAUGGGUAGAAUUUUUGGGAGCAGCAAAUGUGUGGCUUGCAGGAAUCCUUCUGCUUUGUGU